AGUGAACGCUGGCGGUAGGCCUAACACAUGCAAGUCGAACGGCAGCACAGUAAGAGCUUGCUCUUACGGGUGGCGAGUGGCGGACGGGUGAGGAAUACAUCGGAAUCUACUUUUUCGUGGGGGAUAACGUAGGGAAACUUACGCUAAUACCGCAUACGACCUACGGGUGAAAGCAGGGGAUCUUCGGACCUUGCGCGAUUGAAUUAGCCGAUGUCGGAUUAGCUAGUUGGCGGGGUAAAGGCCCACCAAGGCGACGAUCCGUAGCUGGUCUGAGAGGAUGAUCAGCCACACUGGAACUGAGACACGGUCCAGACUCCUACGGGAGGCAGCAGUGGGGAAUAUUGGACAAUGGGCGCAAGUCUGAUCCAGCCAUACCGCGUGGGUGAAGAAGGCCUUCGGGUUGUAAAGCCCUUUUGUUGGGAAAGAAAAGCAGCAGGUUAAUACCCCGCUGUUCUGACGGUACCCAAAGAAUAAGCACCGGCUAACUUCGUG
rnacentral:rRNA from 1 species